GAUGAACGCUGGCGGCGUGCCUAAUACAUGCAAGUCGAGCGAAUGGAUUAAGAGCUUGCUCUUAUGAGGUUAGCGGCGGACGGGUGAGUAACACGUGGGUAACCUGCCCAUAAGACUGGGAUAACUCCGGGAAACCGGGGCUAAUACCGGAUAACAUUUUGAACAGCAUGGUUCGAAAUUGAAAGGCGGCUACGUCUGUCACUUCUGGAUGGACCAGCGUCGCAUUAGCUUGUGGGUGAGGUAAAGGCUCACCAAGGCAACGAUGCGUAGCCGACCGGAGAGGGUGAUCGGCCACACUGGGACUGAGACACGGCCCAGACUCCUACGGGAGGCAGCAGUAGGGAAUCUUCCGCAAUGGACGAAAGUCUGACGGAGCAACGCCGCGUGAGUGAUGAAGGCUUUCGGGUCGUAAAACUCUGUUGUUAGGGAAGAACAAGUGCUAGUUGAAUAAGCUGGCACCUUGACGGUACCUAACCAGAAAGCCACGGCUAACUACGUGCCAGCAGCCGCGGUAA
rnacentral:rRNA from 1 species